GAGGAUAUAGCUCAAAUGGUAGAGCGCGUGCUUAACAUGCACGAGAUCCUGGGUUCAAUCCCCAGUACCUCCU
rnacentral:tRNA from 1 species